rnacentral:rRNA from 1 species
UAGGGAAUCUUCCACAAUGGACGCAAGUCUGAUGGAGCAACGCCGCGUGAGUGAAGAAGGCUUUCGGGUCGUAAAACUCUGUUAUUGAAGAAGAACGUGUGUGACAGUAACUGGUCAUGCAGUGACGGUAUUCAAUCAGAAAGUCACGGCUAACUACGUGCCAGCAGCCGCGGUAAUACGUAGGUGGCAAGCGUUGUCCGGAUUUAUUGGGCGUAAAGCGAGUGCAGGCGGUCUUUUAAGUCUGAUGUGAAAGCCUUCGGCUUAACCGAAGAAGGGCAUCGGAAACUGGGAG